UAUUUGACCUGGCUCAGGACGAACGCUGGCGGCGUGCCUAAUACAUGCAAGUCGAGCGAAUGAAGAGGAAGCUUGCUUCUUCUGAGUUAGCGGCGGACGGGUGAGUAACACGUGGGCAACCUACCUUGUGCUGGGAUAACUCCGGGAAACCGGGGCUAAUACCGAAUAAUCAGUUGUACCUCCUGGUACAACUCUGAAAGACGGUUUCGGCUGUCACUACAAGAUGGGCCCGCGGCGCAUUAGCUAGUUGGUAAGGAACGCUUACCAAGGCAACGAUGCGUAGCCGACCUGAGAGGGUGAUCGGCCACACUGGGACUGAGACACGGCCCAGACUCCUACGGGAGGCAGCAGUAGGGAAUCUUCCACAAUGGACGAAAGUCUGAGGGCAACGCCGCGUGAGUGAAGAAGGUUUUCGGAUCGUAAAACUCUGUUGUAAGGGAAGAACAAGUACGUGAGUAACUGCACGUACCUUGACGGUACCUUAUUAGAAAGCCACGGCUAACUACGUGCACAGCCGCGGUAAUACGUAGGUGGCAAGCGUUGUCCGGAAUUAUUGGGCGUAAAGCGCGCGCAGGCGGUCCUUUAAGUCUGAUGUGAAAGCCCACGGCUCAACCGUGGAGGGUCAUUGGAAACUGGGACUUGAGUGCAGGAGAGGUUAGUGGAAUUCCAAGUGUAGCGGUGAAAUGCGUAGAGAUUUGGAGGAACACCAGUGGCGAAGGCGACUAACUGGCCUGUAACUGACGCUGAGGCGCGAAAAGCUUUGC
rnacentral:rRNA from 1 species